GAUGAACGCUGGCGGCGUGCCUAAUACAUGCAAGUCGAGCGAACGGACGAGAAGCUUGCUUCUCUGAUGUUAGCGGCGGACGGGUGAGUAACACGUGGAUAACCUACCUAUAAGACUGGGAUAACUUCGGGAAACCGGAGCUAAUACCGGAUAAUAUUUUGAACCGCAUGGUUCAAAAGUGAAAGACGGUCUUGCUGUCACUUAUAGAUGGAUCCGCGCUGCAUUAGCUAGUUGGUAAGGUAACGGCUUACCAAGGCAACGAUGCAUAGCCGACCUGAGAGGGUGAUCGGCCACACUGGAACUGAGACACGGUCCAGACUCCUACGGGAGGCAGCAGUAGGGAAUCUUCCGCAAUGGGCGAAAGCCUGACGGAGCAACGCCGCGUGAGUGAUGAAGGUCUUCGGAUCGUAAAACUCUGUUAUUAGGGAAGAACAAAUGUGUAAGUCACUGUGCACAUCUUGACGGUACCUAAUCAGAAAGCCACGGCUAACUACGU
rnacentral:rRNA from 1 species